rnacentral:lncRNA from 7 species
GAGAGCUUGAAUCUGCCGCAGUAGCCUGCUGGGGGAGCUGCAGCCCAUUGGCGUCGGCUGACCCGGAGAUCACAGACGGUCGUCUCCUUUUCUUUUGCUACCGUGCUGAGUGAUGCAUAGUAAAUACUUGUUCUCCUCAGAUGUGCGGGGGGCAUCAGAGAAGAAUUCUUUAUUCCACAAAGGUGAAGGUUUUUGUGUUGGAGAUGCUGUAAAAGAACUGAUUGGGGAAUUCAAACAACUUUGCAAAGAACCUUUCUUUUCUGGAAUAAGCUGAAAAGAACCAGUUUGUCCUUGCUGAGUAUAAGUUCAAAGAUGUAAACGUUCAUAUUUUAGUAUAAUGUAAUGGAUGAAGACAAAAAUGUUUUAAAAAGUCACCUUGUAUAGAGUGCUUUCUGUUACUGUCUGAAACAGAAGUACUAGUUCAUUCAAAACAGUGUUGCUUUUAUUAAUUAUGCUGAAGUUCCUUAAUGUUUUACGAAUCUCUAAGGCCUAUAUGUGUAUUCCUGCAAAUGUGUGAGGUGUGAUAUGAUCUGAGAAGAAGUGUACAUUCAGGCCAAUGUCAAGCUAAACAUCUUGGUGAUGGAAUAUUGAUUUUUCAUGGGGGUGCUGCAUUUGCUACAUUUAAAUUUAGAUUAUGGGAAAAAUGAGCUCCUGUUUGGAUGCGGGUGCCUUCAGAACAGAAUCUGUUUUCUGAAGAAGAAUCCAGGGUGUAGAGAGCCGUAAAAUCAAUGAGAGAGUGCAUCACUUUGGUGAACGUUCCAGGUAUUGAUGUGUUCUGAGGUUUCAUGAUCUUCAGGAUGAGCAGUUUGAGAAGUCAGCUGUCACUACACUGUCUUGUUUCCCAAAACCAUCUCUCUGGUGUUCAGCACAGCAUGGCAGUUGUGGUUCUCCAUGUAACACUAUCUUGCUGUCCUGCUUGUCAUCCAGUCUCCAGAGCGUAUCAGCACUGACCAGAAGUAAAAUUACUAUUUUCAUAGGCAAAAAUAAAGAUAAGGGGUUGGCUCUUUCUUGAGGUGUUCAUCUCACUGAUUUCAAAGGCCGCUAUCAAUUUAAACUGACCCAAGACUUCAUUUCUUUCCAUUCUGAUUUUUGAUCACCAGUGUAUGAAAGCUAGUUAGUGAAACGUUAUGACCAAGUGAGAUGAUCUAAUAGAAGUGCAAAACACAGUAGGAACACAAAUUGAUGUGAUCUUUGCUUCCAGUGUUCUUCUAGGCAACAACCUACUUUUCUAGUGAAUAAAAGUUUUCUUUAUAGU